GGUUCGAUGGUGUAGUUGGUUAUCACGUCUGUCUCACACUGCGAAGCUGAGGGCACAGGAGGUCUCCGGUUCGAACCCGGGUCGAACCA